UACGUAGGGCGCAAGCGUUGUCCGGAAUUACUGGGCGUAAAGGGCGCGUAGGCGGUUCGAUAAGUCCCGUGUGAAAUCCCUCGGCUCAACUGAGGAACUGCACGGGAAGCUGACGGGCUUGAGUUCGGGAGAGGGAAGCGGAAUUCCGGGUGUAGCGGUGAAAUGCGUAGAUAUCCGGAGGAACACCGGUGGCGAAGGGCGGCUUCCUGGACCGACACUGACGCUGAGGCGCGAAAGCUAGGGGGAGCAAACGGG
rnacentral:rRNA from 1 species